rnacentral:rRNA from 1 species
UACGUAGGGUGCAAGCGUUGUCCGGAUUUAUUGGGCGUAAAGAGCUCGUAGGCGGUUUGUCGCGUCUGCUGUGAAAACUCGGGGCUCAACCUCGGGCUUGCAGUGGGUACGGGCAGACUGGAGUGCGGUAGGGGAGACUGGAAUUCCUGGUGUAGCGGUGAAAUGCGCAGAUAUCAGGAGGAACACCGGUGGCGAAGGCGGGUCUCUGGGCCGUAACUGACGCUGAGGAGCGAAAGCGUGGGGAGCGAACAGG